AGUCGAGCGGGGUUAAUUAGAAGCUUGCUUCUAAUUAACCUAGCGGCGGACGGGUGAGUAACACGUAGGCAACCUGCCCACAAGACAGGGAUAACUACCGGAAACGGUAGCUAAUACCCGAUACAUCCUUUUCCUGCAUGGGAGAAGGAGGAAAGACGGAGCAAUCUGUCACUUGUGGAUGGGCCUGCGGCGCAUUAGCUAGUUGGUGGGGUAAAGGCCUACCAAGGCGACGAUGCGUAGCCGACCUGAGAGGGUGAUCGGCCACACUGGGACUGAGACACGGCCCAGACUCCUACGGGAGGCAGCAGUAGGGAAUCUUCCGCAAUGGGCGAAAGCCUGACGGAGCAACGCCGCGUGAGUGAUGAAGGUUUUCGGAUCGUAAAGCUCUGUUGCCAGGGAAGAACGUCUUGUAGAGUAACUGCUACAAGAGUGACGGUACCUGAGAAGAAAGCCCCGGCUAACUACGUGCCAGCAGCCGCGGUAAUACGUAGGGGGCAAGCGUUGUCCGGAAUUAUUGGGCGUAAAGCGCGCGCAGGCGGCUCUUUAAGUCUGGUGUUUAAUCCCGAGGCUCAACUUCGGGUCGCACUGGAAACUGGGGAGCUUGAGUGCAGAAGAGGAGAGUGGAAUUCCACGUGUAGCGGUGAAAUGCGUAGAGAUGUGGAGGAACACCAGUGGCGAAGGCGACUCUCUGGGCUGUAACUGACGCUGAGGCGCGAAAGC
rnacentral:rRNA from 1 species